GAUGAACGCUGGCGGCAUGCUUAACACGUGCAAGUCGAACGGGAAGUGGUGUUUCCAGUGGCGAACGGGUGAGUAACGCGUAAGAACCUGCCCUUGGGAGGGGAACAACAACUGGAAACGGUUGCUAAUACCCCGUAGGCUGAGGAGCAAAAGGAGAAAUCCGCCCAAGGAGGGGCUCGCGUCUGAUUAGCUAGUUGGUGAGGUAAUAGCUUACCAAGGCGAUGAUCAGUAGCUGGUCCGAGAGGAUGAUCAGCCACACUGGGACUGAGACACGGCCCAGACUCCUACGGGAGGCAGCAGUGGGGAAUUUUCCGCAAUGGGCGAAAGCCUGACGGAGCAAUGCCGCGGGGAGGUGGAAGGCCUACGGGUCGUCAACUUCUUUUCUCGGAGAAGAAACAAUGACGGUAUCUGAGGAAUAAGCAUCGGCUAACUCUGUG
rnacentral:rRNA from 1 species